rnacentral:rRNA from 1 species
GACGAACGCUGGCGGCGUGCUUAACACAUGCAAGUCGAACGGAAAGGCCCUGCUUGCCGGGUGCUCGAGUGGCGAACGGGUGAGUAACACGUGGGUGAUCUGCCCCUUACUUUGGGGUAAGCCUGGGAAACUGGGUCUAAUACUGGAUAGGACCAUGCUGUAGGUGGUGUGGUGGAAAGAUUAGUUUCGGUAAGGGAUGAGCUCGCGGCCUAUCAGCUUGUUGGUGGGGUAAUGGCCUACCAAGGCGUCGACGGGUAGCCGGCCUGAGAGGGUGGACGGCCACAUUGGGACUGAGAUACGGCCCAGACUCCUACGGGAGGCAGCAGUGGGGAAUAUUGCACGAUGGGCGCAAGCCUGAUGCAGCGACGCCGCGUGGGGGAUGACGGCCUUCGGGUUGUAAACUCCUUUCAGCCAUGACGAAGCCCUUGUGGUGACGGUAGUGGUAGAAGAAGCACCGGCUAACUACGUG